rnacentral:rRNA from 1 species
CCUACGGGUGGCAGCAGUGGGGGAUAUUGGACAAUGGGGGAAACCCUGAUCCAGCGACGCCGCGUGAGUGAAGAAGUAUUUCGGUAUGUAAAGCUCUAUCAGCAGGGAAGAAAGAAAUGACGGUACCUGAGUAAGAAGCCCCGGCUAACUACGUGCCAGCAGCCGCGGUAAGACGUAGGGGGCAAGCGUUAUCCGGAAUUACUGGGUGUAAAGGGAGCGUAGACGGUAAGGCAAGUCUGGAGUGAAAGGCGGGGGCCCAACCCCCGGACUGCUCUGGAAACGGUGUAACUGGAGGGAAGGGGAGGCAGGCGGAAUCCCUGGUGUAGCGGUGAAAUGCUUAGAUAUUAGGAGGAACACCGGUGGCGAAGGCGGCCUGCUGUACUGUAACUGACGUUGAGGCUCGAAAGCGUGGGGAGCAAACAGGAUUAGAUACCCGGGUAGUC